rnacentral:sRNA from 1 species
GCUGGGUGCAGUGGUGCACAUCUGUAAUCCCAGCAGCUUGGGAGGCUGAGGCAGGAGGAUCACGAGUUCAAAGCCAGCCUUAGCAACAGCAAGGUGCUAAGCAACUCAGUGAGACCCUGUCUCUA